rnacentral:rRNA from 1 species
GACGAACGCUGGCGGCGUGCUUAACACAUGCAAGUCGAACGGUAAGGCCCUUCGGGGUACACGAGUGGCGAACGGGUGAGUAACACGUGGGUGAUCUGCCCUGCACUUCGGGAUAAGCCUGGGAAACUGGGUCUAAUACCGGAUAGGACUCCUGGCUUCAUGGUUGGGGGUGGAAAGCUUUUGCGGUGUGGGAUGGGCCCACGGCCUAUCAGCUUGUUGGUGGGGUAAUGGCCUACCAAGGCGACGACGGGUAGCCGGCCUGAGAGGGUGACCGGUCACACUGGGACUGAGAUACGGCCCAGACUCCUACGGGAGGCAGCAGUGGGGAAUAUUGCACAAUGGGCGCAAGCCUGAUGCAGCGACGCCGCGUGAGGGAUGACGGCCUUCGGGUUGUAAACCUCUUUCAGCUAUGACGAAGCGCAAGUGACGGUAGUAGCAGAAGAAGGACCGGCCAACUACGUGCCAGCAGCCGCGGUAAAAC